rnacentral:rRNA from 1 species
GUCUACGGCCAUGCCACCCCGAACAAGCCUGAUGUCUGAUCUCGGAAGCUAAACAGAGUUGGGCCUGGUUAGUACUUGGAUGGGAGAUCCCCUAGGAAGACUAGGUGCUGUAGGCA